UACGUAGGGUGCGAGCGUUGUCCGGAAUUAUUGGGCGUAAAGGGCUCGUAGGCGGUCCGUCACGUCGGGAGUGAAAACUCGGGGCUCAACCCCGAGCCUGCUUUCGAUACGGGCGGACUAGAGGUAGGUAGGGGAGAACGGAAUUCCUGGUGUAGCGGUGGAAUGCGCAGAUAUCAGGAGGAACACCGGUGGCGAAGGCGGGUCUCUGGACAGUUCCUGACGCUGAGGCACGAAGGCCAGGGGAGCGAACGGG
rnacentral:rRNA from 1 species